UUAGGGCUCUCCCAGAAUAUCUUCCUUUUCCCCCUUUGGGAGUGCCUCAGAAACUGAAAACCUGGCUGUCUAAAAUAAGCCAGGAAAUGUUUUCUCAAUUCAACCCUACUCCAAAAAUCAAGAUUAAGAAUGCAAAUGAAACUCCAACUAUAACUGCCAUAAGGAAUCUGCUGCCCUACAGUUAUUAAAUAAGACAGGAAGUCUUAUUUAUACAUACAGGAAGUAUGUCCCAGAAAGAAAACUAAUUGUGGGGAGUCUGGAGGACCUAGAUUCCAAUCCUACUGUUUAUGACCUUGGGCAAAGCUCUUGACCUUUCAGCCCUCAGUUUCUUCAUGGGUAAUACAAAGGGGCCAGAGUCUAGGGAACUCUUCAGUUUUGAGAGUCAAUGGAUUCCAUGAACUAUGAGAUGUUAGUGUCAACUGACAUUUUCCAACUGAUAAAUCAACAUAAAUGGAGUUGAAAUUUGAUAUAUCACUCUAUGCUGCCAAAUCGAGAAAGAAGUGGUAAGUCCAAAGAGAUUGUCUUGAGGGGAAAAAAGCAGUCACAGAGAAGAAAAAGUGAGAGAGAAGAGAAAGAAGGAGUCACUGGAGUCAUCAGGCAGAACUUACAUGGAAAAAUUAAAUUUUGUCAUCAAAGGCAUCUUGGCUUUUUGGAAGCAGUUCAAGGAUAACGGCCAUCCACUAUUGAAGAAAAUCUUUCUUUAUUUCAGAUUUUUGUUCUACAAACUUUAGAAUGAAAAGGACCUCAGAGAACGUCCAGUCCAUCACAAUCUUAUAGAUGGGGAGAGUGAAGCAAAGAAAGAUUGAGUGAUUUAUCCAGUGUUAUAUAGCUGGCAAAUAAAAGACUCUGAAUUUGAAAA